CCUUGGGUCCGGCAUAACCCCGGGAAACUGGGGAUAAUUCCGGAUAACGCACAUAUGCUGGAAUGCUUUAUGCGUAAAAUGGAUUCGUCUGCCCAAGGAUGGGUCUGCGGCCUAUCAGGUAGUAGUGGGUGUAAUGUACCUACUAGCCAACAACGGGUACGGGUUGUGAGAGCAAGAGCCCGGAGAUGGAUUCUGAGACAUGAAUCCAGGCCCUACGGGGCGCAGCAGGCGCGAAAACUUUACAAUGCGGGAAACCGUGAUAAGGGGACACCGAGUGCCAGCAUCAUAUGCUGGCUGUCCAGGUGUGUAAACUACACCUGUUAGCAAGGGCCGGGCAAGACCGGUGCCAGCCGCCGCGGUAACACCGGCGGCCCGAGUGGUGAUCGUGAUUAUUGGGUCUAAAGGGUCCGUAGCCGGUUUGGUCAGUCCUCCGGGAAAUCUGAUAGCUCAACUAUUAGGCUUUCGGGGGAUACUGCCAGGCUUGGAACCGGGAGAGGUAAGAGGUACUACAGGGGUAGGAGUGAAAUCUUGUAAUCCCUGUGGGACCACCUGUGGCGAAGGCGUCUUACCAGAACGGGUUCGACGGUGAGGGACGAAAGCUGGGGGCACGAACCGGAUUAGAUACCCGGGUAGUCCCAGCCGUAAACGAUGCUCGCUAGGUGUCAGGCAUGGCGCGACCGUGUCUGGUGCCGCAGGGAAGCCAAGGAGCGAGCCACCUGGGAAGUAC
rnacentral:rRNA from 1 species